GAUUCUGGCUCAGGAUGAACGCUGGCGGCGUGCCUAACACAUGCAAGUCGAACGAAGCAUACAGACUGGAGAUUCGUCGAAGGACUGUAUGACUUAGUGGCGGACGGGUGAGUAAUGUAUGAGCAACCUGCCUUUCAGAGGGGGACAACAGUUGGAAACGACUGCUAAUACCGCGUAACGUAUUGUGAGGGCAUCCUCGUGAUACCAAAGGAGCAAUCCGCUGAAAGAUGGGCUCAUAUCUGAUUAGCUUGUUGGCGGGGUAACGGCCCACCAAGGCGACGAUCAGUAGCCGGACUGAGAGGUUGAACGGCCACAUUGGGACUGAGAUACGGCCCAGACUCCUACGGGAGGCAGCAGUGGGGAAUAUUGGGCAAUGGGCGAAAGCCUCGACCCAGCAACGCCGCGUGAAGGAAGAAGGUCUUCGGAUUGUAAACUUCUUUUAUGAGGGACGAAGGACGUGACGGUACCUCAUGAAUAAGCCACGGCUAACUACGUGCCAGCAGCCGC
rnacentral:rRNA from 1 species